AACGAACGCUGGCGGCAGGCCUAACACAUGCAAGUCGAACGCCCUAGCAAUAGGGAGUGGCGCACGGGUGCGUAACGCGUGGGAAUAUGCCCUUCACUGCGGAAUAACGUUUGGAAACGAACGCUAAUACCGCAUAAUGACUCCGGUCCAAAGAUUUAUCGGUGAAGGAUUAGCCCGCGUUAGAUUAGCUAGUUGGUGAGGUAAUGGCUCACCAAGGCGACGAUCUAUAGCUGGUCUGAGAGGAUGAUCAGCCACACUGGGACUGAGACACGGCCCAGACUCCUACGGGAGGCAGCAGUGAGGAAUAUUGGACAAUGGGUGUAAGCCUGAU
rnacentral:rRNA from 1 species